CCGGAGUCCCGGUUCCUGGGGCUCACCCGCGGGCGCACGCCCCGGCCCGGCCCGGCCCGGCCGCCUGCCCCCGCCUUCCUCUUCCUCGCGGGCGUCUGGGCGCUGCCCCAGGCGUCCCUCCGAGGUGCCACCUUUUUCACUUCCCCAACGGAAGUAAUCCAGUUGAGGCUCACCCCAGGCCGUGUAUCUUGCCAAACUUGACACAACCGGGAAGUUGUUGAUCUCAGGAUUAGGACGCUGUGUUUUCCAAGCCAAUGCUCACCCGCGCAGUUUGCCAUCCUUCCUACCCGAGGAAGCCUCUCUGCCUAAAUAGGCCAUGCUCUUGGGACCAAGGCUGCACCCUGUGGUGCCCUGAGAGAUGGCCACAGUCCAACCCCCCAACCUCUACUCCAGACCUGGAUCCGGGGAACCCUGACCCGGCCUACAUAAAGAUUUCAACCCUGCUGCAUCUGCUGAGAAGAAUCACCUGGGGAGCUUUUACAAAUGCGGAUGCCUAGACCCAUGGCCCCAGGUUGCAGCUGACCUGACCCUGCCCGACCCGGAGCACAGUGCAAACAAGCUCCUGGCAGAAGCACCCCAGCUUCUGUCCCAAGGUUUCCACUUCCCUGUGGGGAUGAUUGUCCUUCAGGAUUGUGAGGAAAGCCCUGUCUGGCCCUGUGACUUCGUGGACAUCCCACCAUCAUUGCAAUUGCCUCUGAACCUCCUAUGAAUAAAGAAUGAUAAGCCUCCUAUGCAUAAAGAAUGACAGCUUGAAAGAAGGGUUAACCAGACUACUGAGGCCUGCCUGGCUUUCAGCCCUGCUCCUUAUCUCAAGCCCGCUCCUUCCCCAAAGGAAACCCAUAUCUUGUUGGAACAGAGCAAUCUCAAAAAUCACCCUGCUGAUUACGCUGAGUUUCCUGGGAUAGUUCGCUCUGAUACCCACGCACAACCACCUCCACAGGGCCAACAGAAGAUCUUCAAUACUAACCCGUUAGAAUUAGCUCGAAUAUAUAGAAGGAAAUGUUCAUGUAGGAGAGUCCAUGUCAAUACCUAAUCAGGGUUCCUAGACUGUGAGAUCUCAUAGGCCAGCAAAUGAAACAUGCAUACAAAUAAAAACUAGGUAUUGACUUUUCA